rnacentral:rRNA from 1 species
CAACUCCCAAACCCCUGUGAACAUACCACAACGUUGCCUCGGCGGGACCGCCCCGGCGCCCACGGCGGCCCGGAACCAGGCGCCCGCCGGAGGACCCAAACUCUUGCUUUGAACAGUGGCAUACUCUCUGAGUCUCACAAACAAAAAUGAAUCAAAACUUUCAACAACGGAUCUCUUGGCUCUGGCAUCGAUGAAGAACGCAGCGAAAUGCGAUAAGUAAUGUGAAUUGCAGAAUUCAGUGAAUCAUCGAAUCUUUGAACGCACAUUGCGCCCGCCAGCAUUCUGGCGGGCAUGCCUGUCCGAGCGUCAUUUCAACCCUCAGGGAGCCCCCUCGCGGGAGGACCUGGUGUUGGGGGCCGGCCGCCCGCGCCGCCCCCGAAAUGCAGUGGCGACCUCGCCGCAGCCUCCCCUGCGUAGUAGCACAACCUCGCACCGGAGCGCGGAGACGGUCACGCCGUAAAACGCCCAACUUUCAAGAGUUGACCUCGGAUCAGGUAGGAAUACCCGC